UACGUAGGCAGCAAGCGUUGUUCGGAGUUACUGGGCGUAAAGGGUGUGUAGGCUGGUUUUUUAAGUUUGGUGUGAAAUCUCCCGGCUCAACUGGGAGGGUGCGCCGAAUACUGAAAGACUAGAGUGCGGGAGAGGAAAGUGGAAUUCCUGGUGUAGCGGUGAAAUGCGUAGAUAUCAGGAGGAACACCGGUGGUGUAGACGGCUUUCUGGACCGUAACUGACGCUGAGACACGAAAGCGUGGGUAGCAAACAGG
rnacentral:rRNA from 1 species